rnacentral:tRNA from 1 species
AUAAGAUUAAGUUAGUGUUAAGACUAGUUGUUUUCAAAACAACAAGGGGGAUUAGA